CCUACGGGAGGCAGCAGUGAGGAAUAUUGGUCAAUGGCCGUAAGGCUGAACCAGCCAAGUCGCGUGAAGGAAGAAGGAUCUAUGGUUUGUAAACUUCUUUUAUAGGGGAAUAAAGGUAUCCACGUGUGGAUAUUUGCAUGUACCCUAUGAAUAAGCAUCGGCUAACUCCGUGCCAGCAGCCGCGGUAAUACGGAGGAUGCGAGCGUUAUCCGGAUUUAUUGGGUUUAAAGGGUGCGUAGGUUGUUUUUUAAGUCAGCGGUGAAAGUUUGUGGCUCAACCAUAAAAUUGCCGUUGAAACUGGAAGACGUGAGUGUGUUUGAGGUAGGCGGAAUGCGUGGUGUAGCGGUGAAAUGCAUAGAUAGCACGCAGAACUCCGAUUGCGAAGGCAGCUUACUAAGCCAUAACUGACACUGAAGCACGAAAGCGUGGGGAUCAAACAGGAUUAGAUACCCUUGUAGUC
rnacentral:rRNA from 1 species